rnacentral:tmRNA from 1 species
GGGGGUGUUACGGAAUCGACUGGCAUCGUUCGAGCUAGUAUUGCGUUUAGGGGUUGUGAACCUUAAUCCACUCAGAAGAAUUAACUGCAAAAAAUUCAAACACUAUGGCUUUAGCUGCCUAAAAAACAGCUUGCCUAACUCACUCUUUUCUUAGUUGCUGAUUUGAGUAAGUCAUUAGAUUGCAACCUGCGAGUAACCCUCCCACCUGAAGUGGUUACUAAGAGGAUAAUCAGGUUAGCGAAUGUGAUCGCCUUGUGGAUUGGCGUGCACGUAGCGAAACUUAAAUAAAUCGACUAUGAACGUAGAUGUAUUAGUGCCGAGAUGGUAGGACAGGGGUUCAACUCCCCUCACCUCCA